rnacentral:rRNA from 1 species
ACGCUCGACACCUACGGAGGCAGCAGUAGGGAAUCUUCCACAAUGGGCGCAAGCCUGAUGGAGCAACACCGCGUGAGUGAAGAAGGGUUUCGGCUCGUAAAGCUCUGUUGUUGGAGAAGAACGUGCGUGAGAGUAACUGUUCACGCAGUGACGGUAUCCAACCAGAAAGUCACGGCUAACUACGUGCCUGCACGCCGGACGGUAAUCGUGACGGCGGGCGUGGACGAAGGC